rnacentral:rRNA from 1 species
GUCUUUUUGAAAUUAUAUAUAAAGUUUAAUCUGCCCACUGAUAAAUAUUAAAUGGCCGCAGUAUUUUAACUGUGCAAAGGUAGCAUAAUAAUUAGUCUUUUAAUUGAAGGCUUGUAUGAAUGAUUGGACGAGAUAUAAACUGUCUCAUAUAAAAUUUUUUGUAGAAUUUAAUUUUUUAGUUAAAAAGCUAAAAUAUUUUUGAAAGACGAGAAGACCCUAUAGAUCUUUAUAUUAUUAUAAAUUAUUUAUUUUUGGUUUUUUUAUAAAAUAAUUAAUAAUAAUAUUUUGUUGGGGUGACAGUAAAAUUUAAAAAACUUUUAUUUUUAAAUAACAUUAAUUUAUGAUUUUAAGAUCCUUUAUUAUUGAUUAAAAAUUUAAGUUACCUUAGGGAUAACAGCGUAAUUAUUUUGGAGAGUUCAUAUCGAUAAAAUAGAUUGCGACCUCGAUGUUGGAUUAAGAUUAAUUUUAGGUGUAGAAGCUUAAUAAAUUAAGUCUGUUCGACUUUUAAUUUCUU